UUGGAGGGGAAGGAGAAGUCGUAACAAGGUUUCCGUAGGUGAACCUGCGGAAGGAUCAUUGUCGAGACCCGAACGAACGGACGAUCGCGAACGUGUUAUAUUUGCCAACCAAAACGACUUCGGCUCGUCCCGCCGCCCCUCGCGGGGCGGCGUGGCGAGACGGAGGAAACGAAACCCCGGCGCGGUGGGCGCCAAGGAACACUUUUUAGAAGCGCCGUCGCGGCCUCCUCCGGGGGAACGCGGGCGUGGAUAUAGAGAUCGUAUUUUGUACGACUCUCGGCAACGGAUAUCUAGGCUCUCGCAUCGAUGAAGAACGUAGCGAAAUGCGAUACUUGGUGUGAAUUGCAGAAUCCCGUGAACCAUCGAGUCUUUGAACGCAAGUUGCGCCCGAGGCCAUCCGGUCGAGGGCACGCCUGCCUGGGCGUCACGCCUCCCGUCGCUCCCCACACCCGUGUGCGGAUGCGGAGAUUGGCCCACCGUGCCCCGUGCGCGGCGGGUCGAAGUGCGGGCCGUCGUCGGGCCGGGCGCGGCGAAUGGUGGACGAAUACUUCGUUGUUUGUGCCUACUCUCCGUGCCCCGGCCCCAACAACGCGACGUGCCGUCGUCGGACCCCUCACCAAGGAACGAUUCCGUCUCGCUUUCGACAAGGAAGGGAGAAGGACCCGUCCUCGGAACGCGACCCCAGGUCAGGCGGGGCUACCCGCUGAGUUUAAG
rnacentral:rRNA from 1 species